GAGGAAGCCCGGUGAGAAUCCGGCGCGGUCCCGCCACUGUGAACCCGGCGCGUGCCGGGUGAGUCAGGAACUC
rnacentral:sRNA from 22 species